AUUAACCUAUUUAACCUUUUUAACCCUUGAUUGAAGAUCUUAUAAAUGAUCCAUAUUUAUAAUUUAAAAAUCUUUUAUCUUUCAGCUUCCUCAGAAAAUAGGAGGAGUGACAUCAUUAUAGAGGAGAAUAAAAUUUGCUGUGAAGCAGAGAUAAACCUCUCAGUGCCCAACUCCCCUUUGAAGUGCUACACUAGAAUGUCAGAUGAAAAAUCAACAACUGACAUCACUGGUAAUGCUCAAUUUUCAAUCAGUAAAGAGAGCAGAGCCGGCAUCAUCGUCUUGGUACUGUUUCUUGGGGUUUGUGCAGCAGUAGCAGCAUAUCAUGUUCGACAGAUGAGAAAUCAUUGAGAUGCUCUACAUUGUAUGAGCCUUGCAAGCAGCACUGCUAUUAGAGAAAACAAAUGAGCUUCUGACAUGUAAAAACUUGCAUCUGUUUGAAGAACAUCUACAUAUGAGAAAACCAGGCCUGUGCCAGCAGCGUACUCCUCGGUAAUGACAUAGAGUAUUCAGCUGAGGAAACAGAGCUCAUUUUAUACGAGACCUCAUGGUAGUUUUCACAAAUGUACCUUCACCAAAUCUGUGCGUUCACUAAGGACUGUGAUUGCCACAGUUGUCCAGCUCCAGGCCUUGUGAGCAACACGAGAAGCUCCCUGGAUCUCCCAUCCGCUCCUGGUGCUUCACUGAGGACAGCAGCCAUCGCAAGAUGUGUGUCUCACUCAGCAGCACAGCUUUACAUCAGCUGAAUUCUCUCAACGGUUUUCAUGAUUGAAACUAUCAGUUCAUCUGAAAUUCUUCAGAGAGCUGUGUUCUUGCUCAGGAAAGAUGUGCCAAAUCCUGACAUCUUCCAUUUCAUAAUGCGAUAGCAUGCCCAUAGGUCUUUAUUUUUUUAAUUCCCAGGUGGACUCUAGACCUAAAAAAAAAAAAAGCAUUUUGUACCAAUGACUGAUUAGUUGAAUUAGGGGGUUUGGCCUUUUGAACAAAUAUUUGAUUGUGCAACCGCCUGCGUGUUGAGGACAUCUCCUCUGUGCGCUUCUGUGGAAUGGCUGGAAAACAGCAGACAUAUUAUGAGCGAUCCAGACUGAGUUGGCCUCACUAUAACAACAGUCUGUGGCUGUUGUAAAGAACACCUGCAAGGCCAAGGGGCUGAGAAACUGUGUGCGUAGCAAAAAUAUAAGGAAGCUGGACUGUGGAAAACAAGAUAUUUUCCUAGUAGGAAAGCGGCAUGUGGACACCGCACAAGGACCCAUCAUAGAGGGCAAAAGGGCGUGUGGACAAGUAGCUUCAGCCUAUUAGCAAUCAAGUACCUGCGUGUGUGCUUUAUGGUGGUCUAUAAAUUGCUGUGUAUACUUUAAUAAAGUGGCAUUAACUUGAUCA
rnacentral:lncRNA from 1 species